rnacentral:snRNA from 1 species
AUACUUGCCUGGCAAGAGAGGUACCGUGAUGAAGAAGGCGGUUCACCCAGGGCGAGGCUCAGCAAUUGCACUCCGACUGUACUGACCCCUCCAAAGUUCCUAAAUGUGGAAAUCUCGAUUGCAUCAUUUCUGGACUGUGUUCGGGCUCCCCUGUU